rnacentral:lncRNA from 1 species
AGGGCCGGCACUGGCUGCUUGGAGGCCGCUUCCUCGGGUUUCCCACGCUGUCCUUUCCUAGCUGACCCUCCCAGGGAGGCUUUCCUUUCCUGUGAGGCUGGCAGAGGAGUGGCACAGAGGACUUUUCAUACAAGCUCAGAGGGGGUCUAUAAAACCAUCAUGGAGCCGGAGGAUCAACAGUGUGAUGGCAGCACACAGCCCCAGUGAGCCAGUCUUCUUGUCCCCCAGAGGCCCGUUGUGUAGGUGGCGGUGGCGAAGGCAAGAGAACUGCUGUGAUCUCAAGGCCAACCUGGACUACAUAACAGGAUCCUAUUCAGUAACUAUGGGGCUGAGGAGGUGGCUCAGUGGGACAGUGCCUGCUGCAAAAGCAAGAGAUCUUCAGGUUGGAUCCCCAGCAGCCAAGUAAAAAAGCUGGGUGUGGUCACACACAUCUGUAACCACAGAGCCAGGCGGAUCCAGUUAGUUUAUAGCCAGUCGAUCUAGCCAACCAGCGAUCACCAAGUUCAGUGAGAGACCCACUCAAAAAGAUAUAUGGAAGUCAUCAACGAAGACAUCCUGGUCUCCCUGCUCACAUAUGCAAGCUCUCUCUCUCUCUCUUU